rnacentral:rRNA from 1 species
AAAGAAACCAACAGGGAUUGCCCUAGUAACGGCGAGUGAAGCGGCAACAGCUCAAAUUUGAAAUCUGGCCCUCGGGUCCGAGUUGUAAUUUGUAGAGGAUGCUUUUGGUGCGGUGCCUUCCGAGUUCCCUGGAACGGGACGCCAUAGAGGGUGAGAGCCCCGUCUGGUUGGACACCAAUCCUCUGUAAAGCUCCUUCGACGAGUCGAGUAGUUUGGGAAUGCUGCUCUAAAUGGGAGGUAUAUGUCUUCUAAAGCUAAAUAUUGGCCAGAGACCGAUAGCGCACAAGUAGAGUGAUCGAAAGAUGAAAAGCACUUUGAAAAGAGAGUUAAACAGUACGUGAAAUUGUUGAAAGGGAAGCGCUUAUGACCAGACUUGGGCUUGGUAGAUCAACCUGGGUUCUCCCUGGUGCACUCUUCCUCGUCCAGGCCAGCAUCAGUUCGCUGCGGGGGAUAAAGGCUUCGGGAAUGUGGCUCCCUCGGGAGUGUUAUAGCCCGUUGCGUAAUACCCUGCGGUGGACUGAGGUUCGCGUUCUGCAAGGAUGCUGGCGUAAUGGUCAUCAGCGACCCGUCUUGAAACACGGACCAAGGAGUCGUCUUCGUAUGCGAGUGUUCGGGUGUUAAACCCCUACGCGUAAUGAAAGUGAACGCAGGUGAGAGCUUCGGCGCAUCAUCGACCGAUCCUGAUGUUCUCGGAUGGAUUUGAGUAAGAGCAUACGGGGCCGGACCCGAAAGAAGGUGAACUAUGCCUGUAUAGGGUGAAGCCAGAGGAAACUCUGGUGGAGGCUCGCAGCGGUUCUGACGUGCAAAUCGAUCGUCAAAUAUGGGCAUGGGGGCGAAAGACUAAUCGAACCUUCUAGUAGCUGGUUUCCGCCGAAGUUUCCCUCAGGAUAGCAGUGUUGAACUCAGUUUUAUGAGGUAAAGCGAAUGAUUAGGGACUCGGGGGCGCUAUUUAGCCUUCAUCCAUUCUCAAACUUUAAAUAUGUAAGAAGCUCUUGUUACUUAAUUGAACGUGGGCAUUCGAAUGUAUCAAC